AUUAUUUAGGACACGAUUCUCUGCCAGCUAGGGAGUGAGGGGACAGCACCUGGGUGCUGGGAAAAACCUCCCUAUGGUUUGCCUGGUCCUCUGGCUGCUGCUGCUGGCUCAGGUGGAUGUUCACUCAUGGGACUUCUUGCUGCAGGAUGCUCUGGAGGACAAAUUGGGCUUCACCAGCUCGUGGAGAAGAGGUUUCCAGGGGAUUUUAAGCCUUGUGGUCUGGAUUCAGCCUCCGGCAUCCCUGUGCCAGGACAUGCUGAAAGCCAGCAAUGAGUUCUUAAAGCCAGGAAGAACAUCUCCUCACUCUUAUUUUGUGCUUUGUGCUUGCAAGCUUCCACAUCUCCUCUUGGCCUCCUUCAGAGGUGUGGGAAUUGCUGAUCCCACCUGGAUGCCUCAUAAUAUUCCUCAUCAUGCAUCAGUUGGGUGUCCCCUGGUGAUGGGAGAGCAGCUGCUUCUUCCAUUUGCUGUCCAGAGGCAAAACUAACAACAGCAAAGCUCAAAAUUUGGGUCAAUGUGAACUGUAUCUUUAUUAGGGGAAAAAAAAAUAAUGUCUCAAGUUUCCAUUUUGGGUCAGCAGGUGUCAGAGGACCUGCCAGGAAACAUCUUGUUGAAAAGAAAUUAAUUUAUUUGUGGAAACCUCAUUUUGUUUUGAAGAAAUCAAAGGCAGGCACGUCAAGGUUUGGAAAGACUUUCAACUGUGCUUUUCUCUGACUGUGUCAUGGAAAAAGAAAGCCGGAUUUUUGCUGGAAUUCUGUGAUCUGGGUCUGAAAGUGCCUGUGAGACCCAGAGGAGCUGCUUCCUCUCAGGUGAUGACCCCCCUGCUGGAAGUGCCUGGAUGACCACACUUGGGGAUCCACCUCUUUGACCAUCCUAAGGGGAGGCCCAACUUGCAGGGAACAUGGGCUGGAUGUGACGACCCUGAUGGGAUAAAGAUGGGACCCCUCUGCGUGUGGGUAACCCCAUAAAC